CCCACUAUAGUUUAUUCAAAACAUUGAAUUGCAAAUUCGAAAAAGAAAUAAAAUAUUUCUAGUGUGU
rnacentral:tRNA from 1 species